UUUAAUCUCUGGUUAUUGCCAUGGACACAGCUCUUGACUAAACCCGCAAGUUUCACCUCUGCCCUGUGAUUAAUGCGACAAAUUCCUUUGAGAUGCACUGAUUGAUAGAGUUUCUGGGUGAUAAUUAGCAGUAAGUCCUGAAAUAAAUCCUAAUCUAACAUGUUGUGAUUGUUCACUGUAAUUGAUUACAUUACUGAUAGCAUAAAUAUAAUUUCCUCUGCUUUAUAGCAGGAAACUUAAUCACUGGAAAGAUAACCCGGUAGAAAUGGCGUGCCCGUGCCUUUCAGCCCGGUGCUGUGAGCGUGAUGGUGGGGAUCCAGUUGUAUCUCAGUGACAGCAUAAAUGCUCUUGUGAUUGUACAUCCCUUUCAGCUUCAGGAGGGGGUUGAGGGCUCUUCCUGUUUCUCUUACCAGCAGCGUGGCAGUUGCUUGGGCAAUUCUUCAUUAAGGUGGAAAAGGGACGCAAGAUUCAGAAAUAUUUUAUCCUUUUUAGUAUGUCUUUGAGCUCCUUGAAUUUCUCUUCUUGUGUGGAGCGUUGGUCCUGAGAGAACAGUAAUCUUUGCCUGGCUCCAACAGGGCGCCUUAAUGUCUGGAAGGAGACUGGCAAGGAUGAAACCCUCCAAAUCAGAUGACUUUUAUUUCAUAUCAAAGGGAAGCCUUGGUUUGUUCCUGCUCUCAUUGGACAUUUGGACUUCUAUUAUUUUACUGUAACAUGGGGAUCUGGAGUUACUCCUUCCUGUAUCUUCAUGCUGUCUCUGAAAGCUCAGCCCCAGGUGAGAUCUGGAAGUGUAGUUGCCCUUUGACACAAGAGCUCAAUUCAAUCAGCCAUCUUUAAGCACACCACCUCUGUGAGGCAUCCCCAUUGUGUCUGCUCAUAUGUAUCUCAUGGUCGCCACGUGUUUUUGGAGUGGAGGACUUCUGCUUUUAUUUCAAUUCCUUGAAUAAAAACCUGCAUCUCCCAGGAGAUUUUCUGGACAUCCAGCGCCUCAAUUACUUUGUGAUGGAAUGAAAUUUGUCAAGAAACCUGGGAGAAAUCUCAUUCCACUGUUUACAGCCAUAUCAUCAAGUGUCAUCUUUGAGAGCAUACACCGCACUCCAGAAGGAAUUACUGCCGUGAGGGAGAGUGCUUCUCUCGACAGCUUCUCCUGCAGUCAGCUGGAGGAAAGAUGCUGAUCCUGGUGCUCCUUCAGCUCGCAGAGGUUCAGUGAGCUACGACUGAGUUUCAAGGCCAUGUGAAUUUUCGGAGAAAGAAGGCUAAAGAAAUACCUUUCUGCAUCUAAAUUUGAGCGCCUCCCGAGCUUUCCUGGAACCCCUUUCAUCACUGGAAGCUACUCUGAGGUCUCCCUGGAUUCGUCUCCUCUCCAGGCUGAAAAAACCCAACUCUCUCUGCCUGUCCUCAUGCAGGAGGUGCUCCAGCCCUCAGACCUUCUUCGUGGCCUCCUCUGGACACACUCCAACAGCUCCAUGUCAUUCCAGGACUGAACACAGAACUCCAGCUGAAGAGCCUUUAUCAUAAUCCCAAGUCCUCAUGUGAAGAGGCCACUCAUCAUCAGCAACAGGCGGGAGCUGACCAGGUGAGAGACAG